rnacentral:misc_RNA from 1 species
CAACCCUCAGGGCCCGUCCGCGGGACCUGGCGUUGGGGAUCAGCCCUCCGGGGCUGGCCCUUAAAACCAGUGGCGGUUCCACAGCGACCUCCUCCGUGCAGUAGUGAUACCUCGCGGCUGGACAGCAGUGCGGACCGAGCCGUAAAACCCCCCACUUCUCAA